rnacentral:rRNA from 1 species
UUCGUAGGCGGGAUAUUAAGUCAGUGGUGAAAUCCUACAGCUUAACUGUAGAACUGCCAUUGAUACUGAUAUUCUUGAAUUCACCUGAAGUAGGCGGAACAUGACAUGUAGCGGUGAAAUGCUUAGAUAUGUCAUAGAACACCGAUUGCGAAGGCAGCUUACUAAAGUGAUAUUGACGCUAAGGAACGAAAGCGUGGGGAGCGAACAGGAUUAGAUACCCUGGUAGUCC